UACAGAGGUCCCAAGCGUUGUUCGGAUUCACUGGGCGUAAAGGGUGCGUAGGUGGUUGCGCAGGUCUGAUGUGAAAUCUCCGGGCUCAACCCGGAAAUGGCAUUGGAAACUGCGUGGCUAGAGGGUUGGAGGGGGGACUGGAAUACUUGGUGUAGCAGUGAAAUGCGUAGAUAUCAAGUGGAACACCAGUGGCGAAGGCGAGUCCCUGGACAACACCUGACACUGAGGCACGAAAGCUAGGGGAGCAAACAGG
rnacentral:rRNA from 1 species